UACGAAGGGGUGCAACGUUGCUCGGAAUUAUUGGGCGUAAAGCGCACGUAGGCGGCUUGGCAAGUCGGAUGAUGAAAGCCCACGGCUCAACCAUGGAAGUGCAUCCGAAACUGCUGAGCUUGAGUACUUAAGAGGAGUCGCGGAAUUCCCGGUGUAGAGGUGAAAUUCGUAGAUAUCGGGAGGAACACCGGUGGCGAAGGCGGGUCUACUGGGUAGUAACUGAC
rnacentral:rRNA from 1 species